rnacentral:rRNA from 1 species
ACUGCUCAGUAACACGUAGUCAACAUGCCCAGAGGACGUGGAUAACCUCGGGAAACUGAGUCUAAACCGCGAUAAGUGAGGAUUUCUGGAAUGGUUCCUGACUAAAAUCUAUAUGGCCUCUGGAUUGGACUGCGGCCGAUCAGGCUGUUGGUGAGGUAAUGGCCCACCAAACCUGUAACCGGUACGGGCUCUGAGAGGAGGAGCCCGGAGAUGGGCACUGAGACAAGGGCCCAGGCCCUAUGGGGCGCAGCAGGCGCGAAACCUCUGCAAUAGGCGAAAGCCUGACAGGGUUACUCUGAGUGACUUUCGCUAGAAAGUCUUUUGGCACCUCUAAAAAGGGUGCAGAAUAAGGGGUGGGCAAGUCUGGUGUCAGCCGCCGCGGUAAUACCAGCACCCCGAGUGGUCGGGACGAUUAUUGGGCCUAAAGCAUCCGUAGCCGGUUCUGCAAGUCCCCCGUUAAAUCCAGCUGCUCAACAGAUGGGCCGCGGAGGAUACUACAGAGCUAGGAGGCCAGUGGCGAAGGCGGCUUGCCAGAAUGCGCUCGACGGUGAGGGAUGAAAGCUGGGGGAGCAAACCGGAUUAGAUACCCGGGUAGUCCCAGCUGUAAACGAUGCAAACUCGGUGAUGCAUUGGCUUAUGGCCAAUGCAGUGCCGCAGGGAAGCCGUUAAGUUUGCCGCCUGGGAAGUACGGACGCAAGUCUGAAACUUAAAGGAAUUAGGAGAGGCAAGCGGUACUCAGUGGGUAGGGGUAAAAUCCGUUGAUCCAUUGAAGACCACGGCGGGGGAGCAC